rnacentral:lncRNA from 1 species
UGGCGCCCCCGAGUGGGUGUGGUCACGUUGCCCAGCAAUGGGCGGUGAUUGGCCCUGGGUGGUUCAUUCGCAGCUCGUGCGUCACGACGCCGCCAGCUGAUCGGAGACUGGAGCCGGUGUGUGCUGGGCGCUGGGAAGAGACAGAGCGGUCGGCCGUGCGGACAGGUCGCAGUGAUUUUGCUCCUCUGUCCACAGCAACCCCCGCACCCAGCAUCAGGAACCUGUGCCUCCCACACCCUCACCUGGCUGAGCCGCAGUAGUUCUUCAGUGGCAAGCUUUAUGUCCUGACCCAGCUAAAGCUGCCAGUUGAAGAACUGUUGCCCUCUGCCCCUGGCUUCGUGGAGGAAGAGGAGAAGCAGCAGCUUUGCCUAUCAUCCGGAAGUGUGUCCCUCCAGCACUGGGUACAUGGCUCUGCUGUCCUCAUCCAACAUGGAGCCUCAGAGGUGAGAAAGGGCAGCCUGGAAGCAACAGAGGCAGGCACAAGACAGUGGAGGACCUGGCCUGGAACCACAAGGGCCUAUCCGGACAUUGGUCAGAGAGGCACGUAGAAGCCUGGAGAACACCAGGAAAGAGAGCAGCCAGCCAGCCUCAGUGAAAGACACGUGCUUCCAGCCAUCUCCUCUCAGGACCUGCCUUCCUGGGAGAUGAAGGGCCUCCAGGAAGUAUGGUCCCAUCUCUACCCUGCAGUUUCUAUAAACAGCCUCAAGGAGCAUGAGCCACCUCUGAAAGGAAAUACACAGCAAAUUCAAAAAGAGAUUCAAAUGUGUAACACUGUGGGAAAACAUAUCUAUGACUGGGGUUGUAGCUCAGUUGGUAGGUUUGCUUAACAUGCACCAAGCCCUGGUUCUGUCUUCUGCAUUGCAUAAAACUGAACAGGUUGGCCCAGGUCUGCAAUCCCGGCACUCUGGAGGUGGUGGCAAAGGAGCCUACAUUCAAGGUAAUCCUCUGCUAUACAAUGAGUUCUGAGCCAGCCUGGGCUAUAUGAGACUGUCUCAAAAAAUAAAACAAAAUAAAAUAAAGCAUUGGUUAGUAAUUCAAAGAAAGCAGAUGUGGCUGAAACCGUUUUCCCUGAUCAUAAUACAACAAGCAAAUGAAAGCCAGAAGAAGGCUCCUGUGCCUUGUGUGUGGCAGUACCAACCAUUGUGAGAGAUGCCUUUGGACCUGGUAGUUUGCUGUCUUAGAAAUGUAUCCUAAAAUAAGGAUUUGGUUAUAAAAUGUUCAUCUCAGGGUUGUAAUAGAGAAAAAUGGAACGCAGCUGUUUGUUUGGAAGUCCAUUCCUUUUCUGCUGUCAUGAAAAUGUAUAGCUAGGGCUUGCCUAAGUAAAUUAUAUUCAUCUGAUGGUGGUGUUCUGUGCAGCCAUCCAAAGUCUUACAGAAGAAAAAUUGAGUGGAAAUAUAAAUAUUGAAUACUAAAAAGAUUAUAAAAGUAUGAGUUUGUGACUGUUUUUAAAAUAUGAACACAUACUUGUAAUAUAUUUUUUUAAAAACCAUCCAAUUGAGUGGAAAUAUAAAUACUGAAUACUAAAAAGAUUAUGAAAAGUAUGAGUUUGUGACUGUUUUUAAAAUAUGAAUGCAUACUUGUAAUAUAUUUUUUAAAAAAACACUGAAAGUGGAUUCAAAAUGUUAAGAAUGGUUGUUUUUGUAUGGUGGGAUAGUACAAUUGUGAAUUUUCCCCUUGUUUUUUCUGUCUUUCUAAUUUUUAAAUAUUGUGCAUUGCUUUCAUAUGUUAAAUAAAAUACAAAAGACAAAUAAAUGUUUUAAAAUUUU